UACAGAGGGGGCUAGCGUUAUUCGGAAUUAUUGGGCGUAAAGGGCGCGUAGGCGGCCAUGCGUGUCUUCCGUGAAAUCCCUCGGCUUAACCGAGGACGUGCGGAAGAAACUGCAAGGCUCGAGUCCGGGAGAGGGGGGUGGAAUUCCCAGUGUAGCGGUGAAAUGCGUAGAUAUUGGGAGGAACACCGGUGGCGAAGGCGGCCCCCUGGACCGGUACUGACGCUGAGGCGCGAAAGCGUGGGUAGCAAACGGG
rnacentral:rRNA from 1 species